AACGCUAGCUACAGGCUUAACACAUGCGAGUCGAACGGAUUCUGGAUUCGUCUGGAAUUAGUGGCAAACGGGUGAGUAACACGUAUCCAACCACCCUGCGACUCGGGGAUAGCCUCUUGAAAGGGAGAUUAAUAUCCGAUGUACUGUUUUUGGUGCAUGCCAUUUUCAGUAAAGUUUUUUUACGGUCGCUGACGGGGAUGCGUUCCAUUAGAUAGUCGGUGUGGUAACGGCUCACCGAGUCUAUGAUGGAUAGGGGUUCUGAGAGGAAGGUCCCCCACAUUGGAACUGCGACACGGUCCAAACUCCUACGGGAGGCAGCAGUGAGGAAUAUUGGUCAAUGGGCGCAAGGCCUGAACCAGCCACGUAGCGUGAAGGAAGACUGCCCUUAGGGUUGUAAACUUCUUUUAUAAGGGAAUAACGUCAGUAACGAGUUACUGAUUGCAUGUACCUUAUGAAUAAGGAUCGGCUAACUCCGUGCCAGCAGCCGCGGUAAUACGGAGGAUGCGAGCGUUAUCCGGAUUUAUUGGGUUUAAAGGGUGCGUAGGCGGGAUGCCAAGUCAGCGGUAAAAUUGCGUGGCUCAACCACGCCGAGCCGUUGAAACUGGUGUUCUUGAGUGGAAGAGAAGUACGCGGAAUGCGUGGUGUAGCGGUGAAAUGCUUAGAUAUCACGAAGAACUCCGAUUG
rnacentral:rRNA from 1 species